rnacentral:rRNA from 1 species
UACGUAGGGUGCAAGCGUUGUCCGGAAUUAUUGGGCGUAAAGCGCGCGCAGGCGGUCCUUUAAGUCUGAUGUGAAAGCCCACGGCUCAACCGUGGAGGGUCAUUGGAAACUGGGGGACUUGAGUGCAGAAGAGGAAAGCGGAAUUCCACGUGUAGCGGUGAAAUGCGUAGAGAUGUGGAGGAACACCAGUGGCGAAGGCGGCUUUCUGGUCUGUAACUGACGCUGAGGCGCGAAAGCGUGGGGAGCGAACAGG